UUUUGGAUAAUCGCGUGGAGAGUUUAUCUUUUCAUGAGGAAAGUCCAUGCUAGCACAGGCUGUGAUGCCUGUAGUGUUUGUGCUAGGCGAAACCAUAAGCCUAGGGACGAGAAAUCGUUACGGCGAGUGAAUAGACUAAGUUUUCGGAUAUGUUUUAGUAGCUCUGAAAGUGCCACAGUGACGAAGUCUUCUUGGAAACAGGAAGAGUGGAACGCGGUAAACCCCUCAAGCUAGCAACCCAAAUUUUGGUCGGGGCAUGGAGUACGCGGAAACGAACGUAGUACUCUGACUGCUAUCUGUAGAUACAGCUAGUGGUAGACAGAUGAUUAUCGAAGGAAAUGAUCCUAGUCAUUUCUGGAACAAAACAUGGCUUAUAG
rnacentral:RNase_P_RNA from 1 species